rnacentral:tRNA from 1 species
GCCCGGAUGGCGAAAUUGGUAGACGCAAGGGACUUAAAAUCCCUCGGCCGCAAGGCCAUGCGGGUUCGACUCCCGCUCCGGGCACCA